GUGCUAAGGUAGCAUAAUCAUUUGCUAUUUAAUUGGUAGCUGGAAUGAAAGGUUAAACUAGCUUACUCAGUUUGUUGUGUUUUGUAAGAAAUUAAAGUCAAGGUAAGAAUUCUUUGAUCUGCUAGGGGACGAUAAGACCCUAGAAGCUUAACAAUAAGAGUAUUUAUUAGUUAUAAAAAUUAAUUUGUUUUACUGGGGCGGUAAAGGUAUAUAAACUAUUAGUGUAUUGAUAGAUCCUUAAAAUAAAGAUAAAACGGGAAAGUUACUCUAGGGGUAACAGUGCAAUAUUUUUGGAGAGAUCAUAUCGAUAAAAAUGUUUGCAACCUCGAUGUUGAAUUAAGAUGUCUACGUGAAGCAGCAGGUACGUGAGAGGGUUUGUUCAACCUUUAAAUUUUUACAUGAUCUGAGUUCAAACCG
rnacentral:rRNA from 1 species